rnacentral:rRNA from 1 species
CACGUAGGGUGCGAGCGUUGUCCGGAAUUAUUGGGCGUAAAGAGCUCGUAGGCGCCUGUUGCGUCGGUUGUGAAAGCCCCGGGGCUUAACCUCGGGUCUGCAGUCGAUACGGGCUAGCUAGAGUGUGGUAGGGGAGAUCGGAAUUCCUGGUGUAGCGGUGAAAAUGCGCAGAUAUCAGGAGGAACACCGGUGGCGAAGGCGGAUCUCUGGGCCAUUACUGACGCUGAGGAGCGAAAGCGUGGGGAGCAAACAGG